GAUGAACGCUGGCGGCGUGCCUAAUACAUGCAAGUCGAGCGAACGGGCGAGAAGCUUGCUUCUCUGAUGUUAGCGGCGGACGGGUGAGUAACACGUGGAUAACCUACCUAUAAGACUGGGAUAACUUCGGGAAACCGGAGCCAAUACCGGAUAAUAUUUUGAACCGCAUGGUUCAAAAGUGAAAGACGGUCUUGCUGUCACUUAUAGAUGGAUCCGCGCUGCAUUAGCUAGUUGGUAAGGUAACGGCUUACCAAGGCAACGAUGCAUAGCCGACCUGAGAGGGUGAUCGGCCACACUGGAACUGAGACACGGUCCAGACUCCUACGGGAGGCAGCAGUAGGGAAUCUUCCGCAAUGGGCGAAAGCCUGACGGAGCAACGCCGCGUGAGUGAUGAAGGUCUUCGGAUCGUAAAACUCUGUUAUUAGGGAAGAACAUACGUGUAAGUAACUGUGCACAUCUUGACGGUACCUAAUCAGAAAGCCACGGCUAACUACGUG
rnacentral:rRNA from 1 species